GAAACCGGGCAGGCUAGAGUUCUAAAGAGGAUCGUGGAAUUCCAUGUGUAGCGGUGAAAUGCGUAGAUAUAUGGAGGAACACCAGUGGCGAAGGCGACGAUCUGGGAAGAAACAGACGCUGAGUCCCGAAAGCGUGGGGAGCAAAUAGGAUUAGAUACCCUAGUAGUCCACGCCGUAAACGAUGAGUACUAAGUGUUGGGGGUCAAACCUCAGUGCUGUAGUUAACGCAAUAAGUACUCCGCCUGAGUAGUACGUUCGCAAGAAUGAAACUCAAAGGAAUUGACGGGGGCCCGCACAAGCGGUGGAGCAUGUGGUUUAAUUCGAAGCAACGCGAAGAACCUUACCAGGUCUUGACAUCGAUCUAAAGGCCCUAGAGAUAGGGAGAUAGUUAUAGAGAAGACAGGUGGUGCAUGGUUGUCGUCAGCUCGUGUCGUGAGAUGUUGGGUUAAGUCCCGCAACGAGCGCAACCCUUGUCGUUAGUUACCAGCAGUAAGAUGGGGACUCUAACGAGACCGCCGGUGAGAAGCCGGAGGAAGACGGGGAUGACGUCAAAUCAUCAUGCCCCUUAUGACCUGGGCGACACACGUGCUACAAUGGUCGGUACAGAGAGAAGCGAAGCUGUGAAGUGGAGCGAACCUCAAAAAGCCGAUCGUAGUCCGGAUUGCAGUCUGCAACUCGACUGCAUGAAGCUGGAAUCGCUAGUAAUCGCAAGUCAGCCAUAUUGCGGUGA
rnacentral:rRNA from 1 species